rnacentral:rRNA from 1 species
GAUGAACGCUGGCGGCGUGCCUAAUACAUGCAAGUCGAGCGAAGCGGGGACGGGGGAGUAACACGUGGAUACACGCCUAUACGACUGGGAUAAAUGCGGGAAACCGGAGAUAAAGCGGAUACUGAUAGGUGGCUCAUCGCUGCAUUAGCUAGUUGGUAAGGUAACGGCCUACCAAGGCAACGAUGCAUACCCGACCUGAGAGGGUGAUAGGCCACACUGGGACGGAGACACGGUCCAGACUCCUACGGGAGGCAGCAGUAGGGAAUCUUCCGCAAUGGGCGAAAGCCUGACGGAGCAACGCCGCGUGAGUGAUGAAGGUCUUCGGAUCGUAAAACUCUGUUAUUAGUGAAGCGGUACCUAAUCAGAAAGCCACGGCUAACUACGUGCCAGCAGCCGCGGUAAUAC